rnacentral:lncRNA from 1 species
GUCCAAGUGAGCAAGUAACGAGAUGUGAAAUCAAAGUUGAAGCUAAACCGGGUCCUGGGUCAGGCUUCUGCUGUCCCGCUACUGGGCUCCUGGGCAGGAAGGACUAAACCCAGACUGGGACUCCUGGAGGUUUGCUGGCUGGGAGAAGGGUCUCACACUAUAUCCCAGGCUGACCUGGAACUCCUGGAAAUCCUCCUGUCUCAGCCUCUGAAGGUCUGGGAUUACAGGAAUGAGCAACCAAGGCUAGCGUCAACCACUCCUUCACAGCUGUUACUUACGUAUAAAGCUUGAGAGAUGAGGCCAGGAGUCAGCUCAGCUGGUAAAGUGCCUCCCUGGGACCCACUGAAUGAAUGGCUAGCCAGCCUACCUGAAUCAGUGAGCUCCGGGUUCCAGUAACAGAUCUUGUUUCAAAAAGGUCAAGCCAGGGACCAGAGAGGUGGGUCGGGCAGUUAAGAGCACUGG